UACGAAGGGGGCUAGCGUUGUUCGGAAUCACUGGGCGUAAAGCGCACGUAGGCGGAUUGUUAAGUCAGGGGUGAAAUCCUGGAGCUCAACUCCAGAACUGCCUUUGAUACUGGCAAUCUCGAGUCCGGGAGAGGUGAGUGGAACUCCGAGUGUAGAGGUGAAAUCGUAGAUAUUCGGAAGAACACCAGUGGCGAAGGCGGCUCACUGGCCCGGUACUGACGCUGAGGUGCGAAAGCGUGGGAGCAAACAGG
rnacentral:rRNA from 1 species